GGAAAUUUGAGGGAAACAAAUCUAGAAACAAAACAAACUUUCUACUGCUUUACACCAAAAAUAAAAAGAAUCCCUAUAUGCCCACAUAGGUAAUAGUUGUAGUUGAGAUUAUCUCGUAGAAAACCAAGGUCAGAUCGAAGUCCUAUCAAAGCCAAGACCACAAAAACUUGCCUCGCCUUUGUUCCUAUGCAGUAACACUAUCAGAGAAUGGCAUAAGAGAAUUGAA
rnacentral:misc_RNA from 1 species